UACGUAGGGGGCGAGCGUUGUCCGAAGUUACUGGGCGUAAAGCGCGCGUAGGCGGGUCAUUAAGUGGGAAGUGAAAGGCUGGGGCUCAACCCCAUGCAGUGCUUCUCAUACUGAUGGUCUUGAGUGAGGUAGGGAGAAGUGGAAUGGCUGGUGUAGCGGUGAAAUUCGUAGAUAUUCGCAAGAACACCAGUGGCGAAGGCGGCUCACUGGCCCGAGUACUGACGCUGAGGCACGAAAGCGUGGGGAGCAAACAGG
rnacentral:rRNA from 1 species